rnacentral:rRNA from 1 species
GACAGAGGUGCCGAGCGUUAGGCGGAAUCACUGGGCUUAAAGCGUGUGUAGGCGGAUCGUUAAGUACCUUGUGAAAUCCCACGGCUCAACCGUGGAACUGCUGGGUAUACUGGCGGUCUUGAGCCACCUAGGGGCGAGCGGAACAAGCGGUGGAGCGGCGAAAUGCGUAGAUAUCGCUUGGAACGCCAACGGUGAAAACAGCUCGCUGGGGGUGUGCUGACGCUGAGACACGAAAGCCAGGGGAGCGAACGGG